GAAGAGCUGCAGUUUUUGCUCCCUAGUGAAUGGGCCCAGCUUUCAGGAUUAAUAGCAAGGAAGCAUUCAGUGAGAAUUGGGAAGAAUCUGGAACAGUGGAAGAUGAUGAAACUGAGGCCCAAGGAGCUUAAGAGAUUUGCCUG